AAUGGGAAAACGUCGCUAUCGAUGAAGAUAAAAUUACACGUUUUCGAACAAAACACGAUAAUUGCAGGUGUCAUUUGUUUUACCGGCGAUAAAGAACGGUGAACGACAGCGAAACUCGUUAUUUUUCAUAAAUAUCAUAAUUUUUCCUCUGACAACCUGAAAAUUAUGCACGGCAAAUUGUUCGAUUCGUUACAGCGGGGGCAUCGUUCGCGCAUACAAAAAGCGUGGCCGCGCGGAAUUAUUGAAAUUCUCGCGCAGGCACACUCUGCCUCGCGAUCGUUCUUUCCUCGCCGUUAAUACGGCUUUAACGAGUGGCAGCUGCUUUGAAAUUCAACGAUUUGCUCGCGAAUUAGAUGCGAAGCGGGCAUCGCGUCCUGCCGAUUUCACGUCCUUAAUAUGCGAAUUAAUUGAGAGAUUUCAUUUCUUCCUAAACUGUAAUCGCGUUACCACGAUUACAACGAUCAACGAUUUCCAACGAAAUUAUAUUUCCGUUUGGUGAGGCGUGAAGGCGGAAACGUGUCUGCUAGCACAAGCUAUUUUAUACGCGAUCUUUAUCGACGUCGUUAACAAAAAUUUCGUAUCGUCAAAUUUCGCGGAACUAGUACGCGUGCCAAGAAACAUGAAAUUAGGCAACUGUAUACUGUACGAAUAACUAUCACCGUUUCGCAUCCCGAUCCGGAGAGCACCGUUUGCGUAAUUUUCUAGACGAAAAUCCGCGAGCAAGACAGCAAAAAGCGUUGUCGAAGUGGCGGUUCAACUAGAGGAGAAUGUUCAAGCGUUUUCCCGGGGUCUCAAGAGCAAAAGGGAGUAGGAAGAAAAGAAAGGGCCGCAAAAGGGAGGAAACGAAGGGACGAGAGUCGUGGUUCAGCUCCUGGAAUAUCUUGCGAGUCUCUCGAGCAAGAACAUCGUCGGAAAAGAUACCGCUGUAUGAGAUCUUUUCUCGCUAGCAUGCUGAAUAAUUACUCGACAUCGCGUCCAAGGAAAACAUAUUUACAUUUCUAGCCGAUGUCGUCGACUGUGCUUUGCCCGUUUUCUUACCCUGGCCAGAUGCUACCACUCCAUUUCUUUCUCGUUUUCUUCUCCUCGACGUCGUUACGAUCCUCCGUCUAAAUUCCGCAAGAAUUUCGAACCGAUGUCUCAUAUCUUCCAAGGCUCCUUUUGCUUUUACGUUCGGCUGCCAACAACUACGCAUCUAUCGCCGCAGAAUAUAAAAUUUAAUCGCCAUCCGCAAUCAGGUGAUCGGUUGACGAGGUUAUUUUUCUACGACAGUGAGAAUCCUAAAUUGAUUUGUCGAUUGUUCACGGUCGCUUAGCCUUGGCACAUACACUCGUCGUUCUACUUCUCUGGACGUCUCUCUUUAUUUCACCCUCCGUCCUUCUCCCCUAGAUUUGCCCACGUAAACAUCAUUGCCCGUAUAAGUGAGUUAGGCGAAGCUUUACGCAAUAAUAUCAUCUUGUCUUCCACCUCAAGCAGCAAUCUCAGAAAGAGAUCUGUGUUAACCGGCCUGUGUACCCUCAGCUAACCCGAGCGGUGCACUAGUAUUAUAGCUUUACUAUAGCGUACUUAUACACAUGUUUGCUUACUGUCCCACAGCGACUGUAUCAUCCUGACACGUGUAUUCAACUUAUUGUACAUCACCUUCUUGUAAAAGAGAUCUUUGCUGAUUAAUUAAUAAAUAAAUUAGAUUAAAUAGAA